rnacentral:rRNA from 1 species
UGAGUAGUAUUAGUUAUGUUCUUGAAACUUAAAGAAUUUGGCGGUAUCUUAUUCCAUYCARAGRAAUCUGUCUCGUUAUCGAUAGUCCGCGUUGGACCUUACUUGGAGUUGUUAGUGGUUUGUAUACCGCCGUUUAUUGAUUAUCUUUUUAGAGGUUAAAAAUUUUCUGGUUUCUUUAUUAUGAUUUAUUACAGGUCAAGGUGCAGYUUUUUCUAAGKGUAUGAUGGAUUACAUUGUUAUUUGUUGUUUGGAUUGUUUGUUUUAAUAUGGGCAUGAAAUUGGAUUUGGUUGUAAUGUUUUGUARAUUGUUUUUAUGAUAUUGGUUCUGARAUAUGUACACAUCSCCCGU